CACAAGUGGUUAAAGGCAAAAUGAAUAAGGAGGCAAGACAGGACUGCACUGCUCCAAGUCAGUCUGUCAUCGGCCACUGCUGGAAAAACCACUCGAAGUCCAUGCCUUCCUGAUAGCAAAUCCAGUCUCAGCAAUGAUAGCGAUGCUUCUAAGUGGAGACGUGCUAUGCUCAGUUCAUCCUCACCCUACACUCCCUGCUCACCGACACAACCAUCUAUGAAUACCAUCUGAAAUACUGUGCCAAGACCAAAGUGACAAAGAGGUGUUCUUCAGCAUUCCCUUCUGCCCAGAAACCUUCUUCUACACAAAAGCCUGUGCCUUGAACUGAACCUGAUGUGGGGACUUCUCAUGGCUCAGAAAAGGGGAAAUAAAGUCUCUCAAACAAUAAGUAAGCUUCAUCAGAAAGAUCGAGACUUUGUAGGCUCUACAAAGCUUUACUAACUUGUGAGUUUUAUGGUGUUUCCUGGAGAAAAGCAGGUGGCUUGGCAGUUAUUUUAGA